rnacentral:rRNA from 1 species
UCCGUAGGCGGUGUGGCAAGUCGGAAGUGAAAAUCCUCUGGGCUUAACCCAGAGGCUGCUUCCGAAACUGCCGUGCUAGAGUGUGAGAGAGGCGAGUGGAAUUGCGGGUGUAGCGGUGAAAUGCGUAGAUAUCCGCAGGAACAUCCGAGGCGAAAGCGGCUCGCUGGAUCACAACUGACGCUGAGGGACGAAAGCUAGGGGAGCAAACAGGAUUAGAUACCCUGGUAGUCCUAGCCCUAAACCAUCAGGACUUGGGGUUUGCCCUGUACGGGGCAAGUCCCGUAGCUAACGCGUUAAGUCCUGCGCCUGGGGAGUACGGUCGCAAGGCUGAA